CAAUCUGCCCUUCAUUAUGGGACAAGCCCUGGAAACGGGGUCUAAUACCGGAUACGACUGCGGAAGGCAUCUUCCGCGGUGGAAAGCUCCGGCGGUGAAGGAUGAGCCCGCGGCCUAUCAGCUUGUUGGUGGGGUAAUGGCCUACCAAGGCGACGACGGGUAGCCGGCCUGAGAGGGCGACCGGCCACACUGGGACUGAGACACGGCCCAGACUCCUACGGGAGGCAGCAGUGGGGAAUAUUGCACAAUGGGCGAAAGCCUGAUGCAGCGACGCCGCGUGAGGGAUGACGGCCUUCGGGUUGUAAACCUCUUUCAGCAGGGAAGAAGCGAAAGUGACGGUACCUGCAAAAGAAGCGCCGGCUAACUACGUGCCAGCAGCCGCGGUAAUACGUAGGGCGCAAGCGUUGUCCGGAAUUAUUGGGCGUAAAGAGCUCGUAGGCGGCCAGUCACGUCGGAUGUGAAAGCCCGAGGCUUAACCUCGGGUCUGCAUUCGAUACGGGCUGGCUAGAGUGUGGUAGGGGAGAUCGGAAUUCCUGGUGUACCGGUGAAAUGCGCAGAUAUCAGGAGGAACACCGGUGGCGAAGGCGGAUCUCUGGGCCAUUACUGACGCUGAGGAGCGAAAGCGUGGGGAGCGAACAGGAUUAAAUAACCCUGGUAUCCAGGCCGUAAACGUUGGGCACUAGGUGUUGGCGACAUUCCACGUCGUCGGUGCCGCAGCUAACGCAUUAAGUUACCCGCCCUGGGGAGUACGGCCGCAAGGCUAAAACUCAAAGGAAUUGACGGGGUCCCGCACAAGCGCGGAGCAUGUGGUUUAAUUUGAAGCAACGCGAAGAACCUUACCAAGGCUGGACAUAUACCGGAAACAUCCAGAGAUGGGUGCCCCCUUGUGGUCGGUAUACAGGUGGUCCCUGCCUGUCGUCAGCUCGUGUCGUGAGAUGUUGGGUUAAGUACCGCAACGAGCGCAACCCUUGUCCUGUGUUGCCAGCAUCCCCUUCGGGGUGAGGGGGACUCACAGGAGACCGCCGGGGUCAACUCGGAGGAAGGUGGGGACGACGUCAAGUCAUCAUGCCCCUUAUGUCUUGGGCUGCACACGUGCUACAAUGGCCGGUACAAUGAGCUGCGAUACCGUGAGGUGGAGCGAAUCUCAAAAAGCCGGUCUCAGUUCGGAUUGGGGUCUGCAACUGGACCCCAGAAGUCGGAGUCGCUAGUAAU
rnacentral:rRNA from 1 species